UACGUUCCCGGGCCUUGUACACACCGCCCGUCACACCACGAAAGUCGGCAACACCCGAAGCCGGUGGCCCAACCCUUGUGGAGGGAGCCGUCGAAGGUGGGGUUGGCGAUUGGGUG
rnacentral:rRNA from 1 species